GAGAGUCUUAGAGGAGCAUUGCAGGCAGACCUGUGGUCCAUCAGCAAGCCCUGCUCCCCAUUCAGCCUCUUGGAGAGCGACCGCAUCACCUUAGCACUGCCGAAUCGCUUGAAUCGGGAACGAAUGUUGUUAUGGAACCAGUCCAACGUGCCUGUCUUCAAUACCCUGUGUGAGCAGGAGGAUGGCGCUCAUGAGCAUGUCACACGUUCCAUACAGAGGAGAAGAUCCUGAGGAAACGAACGGAUUGCCAGUCCAUCUGCAAUGGCGGGAGCCUUCGCCAAAAAUCACAGAACGGCAGCACGACUCCUUAAUCCAAUAAGCAAGCUUCAGGCUUACAUUUCGGCUGCUUGUUGAUGUAGAAGAUUCCCUGACUGGGUCAUGGACUUAAGCUCUCCUGUAUUUGUGUCCCUGGUUUGCUCUGGCAUGGAAUACAAAUGCACUGUGCAUCCAAAAUAAAACCUUGUGACUGUAUAAAUGACCCCCAGAAGGCUUUCCUGGGUUUUUGCUGACAAUAUCCCUUCCAUAGCCUGGUUACAGCUUCCCUUAUAAUCACUGUCCACCGGUGAUUUGGG